UACGGGGGGUGCGAGCGUUGUCCGGAAUCACUGGGCGUAAAGGGUGCGUAGGUGGUUGCGUAAGUCAGGUGUGAAAUCCCUCGGCUUACCCGGGGAAUUGCAUUUUAUACUGCGUGGCUUGAGGACUAAAGGGGAAAAGGGAACUCCAGGUGUAGCGGUGAAAUGCGCAGAUAUCUGGGGGAAGGCCGGCGGCGAAGGCGCUUUUCUGGUUAGUACCUGACACUGAGGCACGAAAGCGUGGGGAGCAAACAGG
rnacentral:rRNA from 1 species